CUCCUGUUUUGUCGGUAGUUACGCCUGGUGGAUAUUUGGUCUCAGAUGUAUGUGCGUGUAGCUGAGUAAAAAACGAAAGAGGCCUUUAGUUUUCAGAGAAACCUUUUUCAAAGAGGACUUUUGUUUUUCUGAUUUUUACUAUGCCGUCUCACGUCGGCGUUCUGUGGCAAAGGAGAUAUUGCGGCCUCUAGCUUGGUUAUUAGACUUGAAAUUUCAACACUCUUGAAGCAGAAAUACAGCAGUCCGUGUUGGAUUUUGGUUGAGUCACAGGAUUUUAGUGCGGGUUGACCCAGGUGCUUCUGGUGGUGAACUGCUGUGGAGACAAGACGACGGCAACGCGACAGUGCACGUCUUCAUACAAGGAUAGAAGGUGUGAUGUCAUCUUCAUACAAGGAUAGAAGGUGUGAUGUCAUCUUCAUACAAGAUCAAUGUGCUGGUCUACCGCAGCAAACCAGCGAAGGUGUUUCCGCAGCCUCUGCGUCAUGAAUAUCCAACCGCCAUUUCAAUCUCCUUGCUGAUAUGAAGCUCAUAUAUUGGUGCCUCAGCUGUGUACGAA